rnacentral:lncRNA from 1 species
CAUGGCAUAGAAUUAGACCGUUGGUGGUAAGAUAGCAUAUAUUACUUAUUAAAUUUGACUAUUCAGAAAUAUCUUAAUUUUUGAUGUCAAAAUUGUAUCUGCGCAUCGGAUGUCAGAGAGAGUUUACUGUCUUGCAGAGGAGUGAUGGAUUGGACUAUCAUAGGCAUAAGCUAUCCUACCUAUUUAGUAGGCCAUAUAUUUUUUUAUUAUUAUUAAAGGUAAAGGAAGCUGCAACAGCAGCCCCCUAGCAUUUAUUUGAAUUGAAUGUACAUAGGGAAAAAGAGAGCAGGAAAGUAGAGAUUACAGAAGAGUAGAUAAAAAAUAAAAAAAAUCUGGAACAAGGA